rnacentral:sRNA from 1 species
UUAAAAUUAAAAAGAUUUAUUUGGCUCACGGUUUCUAAGGCUCUGGUCUGCCGCCAGCUGGGAGCAGUCCUGCGGGCAUGGGGUGUCUGACAGAAUAUCCCACCAGGACCGUGAGGCAGAGCAAAGCUGCUCACGUCACAGCGUGCUAGAGGCAGAGGGAGACGAGAGGAAGAGGCAAGAGAAAAGUCAUGCUUUUAGCUCCGACUUCCCUCAUCCAGGUCUCACUUCCUACUUCCCGCUGCUUCCGGGUACUGCAUCAGCCUCGGUGGCUCAGUCGCCUCCCAGAGGCUCCAGCUCCGAAUGCUGCAGGAUCAGAAGGCAAACCAACAACACAAGGCCCUUCCCUAGAACACGUCACAUCCAGCUGCAACACUGUCCUGGGCUUGUGGCAGGUGCUGUGCACACUAGCUCUGGGCGUCCAGAUCCUACUCUGUGGUCAAUGCUGGAGAUGCUUCCAAAUGCUAUGAAGUGAGGGGUGGCAAGGGUGGAAGAUACCUCAUAGUUGUGCCUGUGACCUCAUGAGGGUGGUAACCUGACUCUGAGAAGCCAAAAGGCACAAAGGUAUUGUAGCAACACAGAGGAAGGAAGGAACUGUGGAAGAACACCUCCUUCUAACUCCAUGGGGCCUUCCCCAUGGUUCCAGCCGGAAGCCCAUAAGGAAGAAGACUGGGGAAUGUAGCCCAGGCUAGAUGGGCAAAGCCACUCCAUCCCCUUCUGUCAGAGGUCAGCUCAUCUUGAGUCAGAUCGAGGGCCAGGUGGAGGUGGAGAUCCCGGUGACAUCUUGGAGGAGUGAUGUGGUCAGACGUGUAGGGGGGUCGGCAGGCUUGGGUUGGAACAAGGUGGGAGGGGCUGAGAGGGUGGGACAGCUAUAUGCGCGGCUGGGCUGGUGGAACAUUGCCAGGCUCCAGGCUCCUCCAAUUGUACAAUCCCACUACCUCUGAGGGUUCCUUGUGGUCAAAAGAGGGAUUCAGAAAUAGAGCUAAAUGGAAAAUAGUUAAAUCAAAUUAUAAACAAGUGAAUUGGGAAGAUUUUCAUAGUCUUUGGCUAUUUCUGACUGAGGCUAUUUUCUGGGACUUGGGCAGGGCCAGCAUCGGGGCUGAACAUUCCUGGACCUGCCCUACAAGUGACUGGCUGCCCUUCCCCGCCCCUCAGGGAACCCCCAGUCUAUGCAGACCAAGUCCUGCUCUCCCCAAAAGAGACUUUCUGAGGAGCAUACACAUUGUCACAGGGCCUACCUGGGAUACCCUGGGCUUGUGCCCUGCAGCUCUGAGUGAACUUCAGCCCCCUAGGUGCUGGGCAGAAGCUGGGGAUUCUGAGGUGUCCCCCCACCCCCUUGGGACUAGGAGUCAGGUUUACUCCAGGUAAGUUGGCCUCCCAGCUCUUCUUUCAGCCUAUGUCAACUUCACAUCAAAACUCCUACUGACUGUGCUUGCUUUCUGGCCUCUGACCUCACCAAAGAUACUGUUCCUCGCAGGGCCAUCCUGCAAAAAUACCAGGAUUUGGAGAUCUUUCUAAAGGAGAUGAGCUCACCCAGAGCAAAUUUGGACCAUAGCUCAGUACUGGAUUGCUUGUCUAGAUGCACAAGACCCCGGACCCAAGCCCAGCAAUGCAGACCCAUUUACAAAGACCCCAAGACACAACAGAGAGCAAAUACGGAAGGAGUCUGGGAACC